UGUAGAACAUUUUUUUUUGUAAACUACGUUAUGCCAGUUGAGCUAGACAUCCCCUGAGACCAUAGUCCCAGCCCUUAGCCCAAUAAUUCGGUUCCUCAGGGAAUUUGGAUGUGUCUAUGAAGCUUCCGUGACCUUGCCUUGGGUCAUGUUGUGAUGGCUUUCCCAAUAUUGCGUACUGUCUUACCAUUCACCAAAGUUAGCACUUAUCUAUUGUCUAGUGAGUAUUUUUCCCUCCCCUCCCUAGUAACCAUCAAAGAUUGUUUCUUUCUGUGUGUAAACCUUUUCAUGAGUUUUUAUAAUAGUGGUCUCAUACAUUUGUCAUUUUGUGAUUGACUUAUUUCACUCAGCAUAAUGUGCUCCAGAUUGAUCCAUGUUGUGAGAAGUUUUGCAGAUUUAUCAUUGUUCUUUAUUAUUGUAUAGUAUUCCAUUGUACAUUCGUACCAUAGUGUGUUUAUCCACUCAUCUGUUGAUAGGUACUUAGGUUUUUCCAUCUUUUUGCUAUUGUGAGUUAUGCUACAGUGAACAUGAGUGUGCAUAUAUAUGUCUGUGUGUGAAAGGGCUCUUAUUUCUGUAGGAUAUGUUCCUAGGAGUAGAAUUGCUGGAUCGUAUGGUAUUUCUGUGUCUAGCUUUUUAAGGAAUGGUCAUAUCAUCUUCCAAAAUGAUUGUAUCAUUUUACAUUCCUACAAGCAGUGCAUAAGAGUUCCAAGUUCCCCACAGCUUCUCCAACAUUUGUUAUUUUCUGUUUCUUUUUGUAUGUGUGCCAGUAAUGUUCGGGUGAGAUGGUAUUUUAUUGUAGUUUUGAUUUGCAUUUCUCUAAUGGUUAGUGAUCUCAAGCAUUUCCUCAUGUAUCUGUUAGCCACCUUAAUGUCUUCUUUGGUAAAUUGUACAUAUCUUGGUAAAUUCGGUAAAUUGUCAGUACAUAUCUUUUGCCUAUCUUUUAAUUGGAUUGUCUUUUUGUUGUAGAGAUGUUGGAUAUUCCUAUAGAUUUUAGAGAUUAGACCUUUGCCUAAUGUGUCAUAGACAAAAAUUUUUUCCCAGUCUGUUGGUUCUCUUUUUACUCUUUUGGUGAAGUCUUUUGAUGAGCAUAAGUAUUUAAUUUUUAGAAGAUCCUCGUUAUCUAGCUUAUCUUCUGGUGUUUGUAUGCUAUUUAUGCUGUGUAUUAGGGUGUGUAGCGUUGACCCUAUUUUGUCUUCUAUGAUCUUUAUAGUUUUUGGUUUUAUAUUUAGGUCUUUGAUCCAUUUUGAAUUAGUUUUUGUGUAUGGUGUAAGGUAUGGGUCUUGUUUCUUUUUUUUUUUUUUAAUAGGUGGUGGACCUCCAGUUUUGCCAGCACCAUUUGUUAAAAAAGACUUUUCCCCACUUAAUGGACUUUGGGCCUUUGCCGAAGAUAAGGUGACUGUAGGUGGAUGGAUUUAUAUCUGGGUUCUUGAUUCUGCUCCAUUGGACUAUGUGUCUGUCAUUGUACCAGUAUGAGGCUGUUUUGACUACUGUAGCUGUGUAGUAGGUUCUGAGGUCAGGUAGUGUGAGUUCUCCUACUUUAUUGUUUUUCUUCAGUAGUGCUUUACUUACCCAGGGCCUCAUUCCUUUCCAUGUAAAGUUAAUGAUUAGUUUUUCCAUCUUGUUAAAGAAUGCUAUUGGUAUUUGGAUCGAGAUUGCAUUGUAUUUGAAGAUUGCUUUGGGUUCAGUUGACAUUUUAACAAUGUUGAGUCUGCCUAUCCAUGAGCAUGGCAUACCAUUUAUGUAGGUAUUGUUUGGUUUCUUGCAAUAGUGUUUUGUAGUUUUCUUUGUAUAGGUCUUUUAUGUUUUUGGUUAGAUUUAUUCAUAAGUAUUUUAUUUUGGGGGGCCCUGAUGGCACAGUGGUUAAGUGUUUGGCUGCUAACCAAAGGAUUGGCAGUUUGAAUCUACCAGCCACUCCUUGGAAACCCUGUGGGGCAGUUCUGUUCUGUCCUGUAGGGUUGCUAUGAGUCGGAGUGUCUCGGCAGCAACAGGUACAGCUAUUUUACUUUUUUAGGGGCUAUUAUUUAUUUAUUUAUUUUUAAAUUAUAAAUGGUGUUGUUUUCCUGAUUUCCUUUUCAUAGUUCUCUUUAUUGGUGUAUAGCAGUCCAACUGAUUUUUACAUGUUUGUCUUGUAUCCUGUUACUCUGCUGAAUCUUUCUAUUAGUUCUAGUAGUUUUCUUGUGGAGUCCUUUGGGUUCUCUAUGUAUAGUAUAUCAUCCCCAAAUAGGGAUAGUUUUACUUCUUCCUGACCAAUUUGGAUGCCUGUUAUUUCUUUUUCUUGCCUUAUUGCUCUAGGUAGGACUUCCAGCACAAUGUUAAAUAGGAGUGGUGGCAAAGGGCAUCCUUUUCUUGUUCCUGUUGUCAGAGGCUAUGUUUUCAGCCUCUCUCCGUUAAGAAUAAAAACCCUGGUGGUGUAAGUAGUUAAGUGCUACGGCUGCUAACCAAAAGGCCGGCAGUUCAAAUUGACUAGGCUUUCCUUGGAAACUGUAUGGGGCAGUUCUACUCUGUCCUGUAGUGUCAUUAUGAGUCGGAAUUAACUCGACGGCAGUGGGUUUGGUUUUUGGUUUGGUCUGUUAAGAAUGAUGUUGGCUGUUGGUUUUGCAUAGAUGUCCUUUAUUAUGUUGAGGAAUUUCCUCUGUACCUAUUUUAUUGAGAAUUUUUAUCAGAAAUGGGUGUUGGAUUUUAUCAAAUGCCUUUUCUGCAUCGAUGGAGAUGAUUGUGUGAGCCUUUGCUUGGUCAUGGCGUGUUAUUUUUUUGAUAUGAUGCUGAGUUCUGUUGGCUAGAUAAUUUUUUCAUCUAUUUCAUGAGAGAUACUGGUCUGUAGUUUUCUUUCUUUGUGGUGUCUUUGCCUGGUUUUGGUAUCAGGGUUAUGCUGGCUUCAUAGAAUGAAUUUGGAAGUACCUCUUCCUUUUCUGUGUUCUGAACUAGUUUGAGUACGUACUGCUGCAAGCUCUUCUCUGAAUGUUUGGUAGAAUUUUCCAACGAAGGCAUCUAGGCCAGGGCUUUUUUUUUUGGCAGUUUUUUAAAUUCCCUUUGCAAUUUCUUCUCUUUUUAUGGGUCUUCUCAGAUUUUCUCCUUCAGUUUGUGUUAGUUUAGGUAGGUACGGUGUUUCUAGAAAUUUGUCCAUUUUCCCUAGGUUUUCAAAUUUAUUGGAGUAUAGUUUUUCAUAGUACUCUGUUAUGAUCCUUUGUAUUUCAGUUGAGUCUGUUGUAAUGUCCCCCAUUUCAUUUCUUAUUUGGGUUAUUUGCAUCCUCUCCUGUUUUCUUUUGUCAAGAUUGGCCAGUGGUUUGUCAAUUUUUUUUUUUUUUUUUGGUUUGUCAAUUUUGUUGAUCCUUUCCAAGAACCAACUUUUGAUUUUGUUGAUUCUUUCUGUUGUUUUUCUAUUCUCUAUUUCAUUUAUUUCUGCUCUGAUCUUUGUUUCCUUUCUUCAGGUGGCUGUGUGCUUCUUUUGCUGUUCUCUUUUGUUUGAAUUGUGUAGCUAAUGUUUUGAUUUUGUCCCUUUCUUUUUUGAUGUGUGCAUCUAUUGCUAUAAAUUGACCUCUGAGCAGCACUGCCUUUGUUGUGUGCCAGAGGUUUUCAUAUGAUGUAUUUUCAUUCUUGUUUGAUUCUAGGAAUUUUUGUUUUCCGUCUUUGAUUUCUUCUGUUACCCACUGGUUUUUAAGCACGUUGUUAUUCACCUUCCAUGUACUUGAUUCUUUUCCCUUCCUCUUCCUGUUACUAAUUUCUACUUUUGUGGUGUGAUCAGAGAAGAUGUUUUGUAUUAUCUCAGUGUAUUGGAUUUUGUUGAAGGUUGUUUUGUAGCCUGUUCUGGAGAAUGUUCCAUGUGUGUUGGAAAAGAAUGUGUACUUUGCUGCUGUUGGGUGGUGUUCUAUAUUUAUCUAUGAGGUCAGGUUGGUUGAUUGUGGCCUUUAGAUCUUCUGUAUCUUUGUUGAGUUUCUUUCUAGAUGGUCUGUCCUUUACUGAGAGUGGUGUUGAAGUCUUGUACUGUUAUUGUGGAACUGUCGAUUUCUCUUUUCAGUGCCGUUAAGAGUUUUAUGUAUUUUGGAGCCCUGUCAUUGGGUGCGUAGAUGUUUAUUAUGUUCUUGUCUUCAUGGUAGAUUGUCCCUUUAAUCAUUAUAUAAUGUCCUUGUCAUUUAUAGUGGGUUUUGUUUUAAAAUCUGUUUUAUCUGAGAGUGGUAUUGCCACUGCUGCUCUUUUUUGGUGGCUGUUUGCUUGAUAUAUUUUUUUCUAUCCUUUGAUUGUGAAUGUAUUUAUAUCUUUGUUUCUAAGGUGUGCUCUUGUAGACAGAAUAUUGAUGGGUCCUGUUUUUUUUUAAUCCAUUCUGUCACCCUCUGUCUCUUUAUGGGUGCGUUUAAUCCAUUUGCAUUCAGUGUGAUUAUUAAUAGGUGUGAGCUUAUUGCUGUCAUUUUGUAGUACUUUUUUUUGUGGUAUUGACAUUUUCUUUGUUCCUCUUCUGUGCUGAAUUCCUUUUGUUUGUGGGUUUUUUUGUUUUGUUUUUUUGUAGACUCUGUUUACUGACAGUUUAUGUUUUUCUUCUUUAUUUUGAUGAGUAGGUUUAUUUUCUUUGUGGUUUACCUUGAAUUUACCCGUAUUUUCCCAAGUUUAAACAGUCUUUUAUUACUUGAUAACUCCUUGACUUCCUCUCCAUUUGAAUAUUCUAUACGUACACUGUUUAUUCCCUCUUUGAUUAUUCUGACAUUGUUGUCAUUUACAGAUUGACCUCUCUGGUUCCCUGUUGUAAAUUUUUUAGUUUUGUUUUAUCCUUGAGAGUUCAUUAGCUAGGUUGGUAUCUGGCUGAUACUGUUUAUGUCCUAGAUUCAGGUUGUUGUCUGAUGUUGUUGGGUCUCUAACUGAAGGACUCCCUUUAAUUUUUGUAAGUUUGGUUUGGUUUUUAUGUAUUCCCUUGAUUUCUGUUUGUUUGCAAAUAUCCUAGUUUCACCAUCGUAUUUGAGCAAGAGUUUCACCAUCGUAUUUGAGCAAGAGUUUUGCAGGAUAUAUUAUUUUUGGUUGGCAGUUUUUUCUUUCAAGAUUUUCUAUAUGUCAUUCCAUUGCCUUCUUGCCUGCAUGGUUUCUGCCGAGUUAGCAGAGUUUAGUCUUAUUGUUUGCCCUUUGUAUGUAACUUUUUGUUUUUCACGUGCUCCUCUCAGGAUUCUUUCUUUGUCUUUGGUUUCAGUGAGUGUGAUUAUGAUACGUCUUUUUGUUUUUCUUUUGGGGUCUAUCCUAUAUGAGGUUCAUUGAGAGCUUCUUGAAAGGUUGACUUUUCUUUCGUCUUUCAUGGUAUUAGGGAAGUUUUCUGUCAGCAAAUCUUCCAUGAUCUUCUCUUUGGUUUCCAUUUUCUUCCCCUGUUCUAGAACUCCUAUCGCACGCAACUUCCCACAACUUUUUGCUUUUGAUUGUAUUCCACAUCAUUCUCAGGGUUUCUUCAUUUUUCUUCAUUCUUUUCUCUCAUAUUUCCUCAAACACAGUGGUAUCUUAAAGAUUUGUUUUUAAUUUUGCUGAUCUUGUCUUUUAUUGUUUCGGAUUUGCUCCUGAAACAUUCUGUUGCACUGUCCAUUUCUGAAAUAUUGUUAUCUUUUGGAUUUCUAAUUGCUGUUUUUGUAUAAUUUCUAGUUGUUUGUUUAUUUUGACAUUUUGUCCCUGUGUUAUUUUCCUGAAUUCUUGCAUUGCCUUGUCUGUGUUUUCCCUGAUUUUGUCUAUUUUGUCCUUAUUUUUGUCUGUAUUUUCCUUCAUCUGUUGGAGAACCCUAAAUAUUAGAGUUUUACAUUCUCUGUCAGAAGGUCAUCUAGUGUUUUAUUUUGAUCGCUUUCUGGAGGUAUCCUCUCCUGUUUUUUUGUUUUUUUUUUUUAAUGUUUUGAUAUAGUCUGUUGUUUCUGGGACAUUUAGGAAUUAUUUUCCUCGUUUAUUGAUUGUUGAGUUGAUUGUUUCAUCCUGCUUUUUUGUUAUAUAUUUGGUUAUGUCUGGGCAGGUGGGCUGAGUGUGUUUUGUUGCUUGCUUGCCUGUGGGCACGAUACUUCUCACCACCUUGUCCAGUCCUUGGUGGCUGAGGUCCAAGAUGAAGAAUCUGGGUGGCAGCGAUCUGGUCUCUCUCCAGUUGAGCAGCCGUGGCCCGUUGGAAAGUGGCAGAGGCCUCAUACAGUGAAGAAGAGUGGGGGGUGAGAAAGCAUGUGUCCCUGGUUACCAAGUACUCUGUCUCCUGUUGGGUGCUCUGAGAGGUUGCGUCCCAUACUCCCUGUCUGUGAUCCUUGGUGGCUGAGGUCCAAGAUGGCAAAUCCGUGCCAUGUUAGCUGGUAGGAAACCUCCGCUCUGUAGCCCUCCUUGUUAUCUGUUCUCUGUCAGUUUCUUAUUCCAUUUGGUGCUUGAUUGAGUUCUUUAUUCCUUCAUUUGGUGUUGAUGUCUGUAUCUGUUUUACUUCGUUUUGCGGGUCUUUGCUAUAGAGGGAUGGCAUGGUGCUUCUGUCUAUAGUGCCAUGUUUGCUGCGUGUCUUCCUUACAGUAAAGUUCUGAUUAAUAAAUAUAGGAGUGAUGGAAACAGAAAUCACCAUUAGGCAAACAAUAUGGUAGUAAUUGUUGCAGGCAAGAACCAUCAGUGGAUUCUAAAAUUAGUGGGCUAAAGUACAAUAAUAAGCAGGAUAUUUAGAGAAUCUCAAAGUAUCUCCCUGUAAGAUGCUCAUUAAUUAUAACAAGAAAAAUAAUAGCUUUGCAGUGAAGAGACCUGGUAAACACCACUGUAACCAAGUGAUUAAAGUUAUCAUCGCUAGUAAUAAGGAAUGUACCUACUAGCAUGAGCUGAGGAGAACACAGGAUCACUUCUGUUGCCCAAAAUACAUAACCUAAAUCAAAUCAGGAGAAAACAUCAGACAAACUCGAAGUAAGGAACAUUCUAAAAAGUAAAUGGCUAGUGCUCUUCAAAAAUGUCAAAAUCAUGAAAGACAAAGAUUGAGGAACUGUCCCAGAUUGGAGGAGACUUAAGGAGACAUCAGAACUAAAUGUAAUGUGAGAUUCUGGACCAGAAAAAGGAAAAAUAUGGAGAAAGCACUGAAAUUUGAAUAAAGUAUAUAGAUUAGCUAGUAGGAUUGUAUCAGUGUUAUUUCCUGGUUUUGAUAAUUGUUAAUUGCACUAUGAUUGUGUAAGAUGUUAGCAUUAGAGGAAGCUAGGGGAGGGUAUAUGGGACUCUAAUAUUUUUAUAGCCUUUCUGUCAUUUUAAAUAUAUUUCAAAAUAAAAAGUAAAACCCUGUGCUGUAGGUCUUUGAAAUAUAUUAAUUUGACCAAUAGUAUCUUUUACUUCCAUUUUCUGUGAAAAAUUGGGCCUCAUUUGACUUAGAAAGGAGGGAUUAAUUGUAAUUUUGUGGAAUCAUACUUUUGAGAAAGUAUAUUCUUUCCUAGUGAAAAUGGCAGCCUGAGGAAGGAAAACAGGAUUUGUUAUGGCCUUUAAAGACAUCUGUUCCCCUAAUCUGAGAGAAGGUAGGGGAAAAUGGAACAGUGCCACUGACUAAGAAUCCUUCCCUGGGAGACACCAUGAGUUUCUAACAUGUCUUGUCCCAAUUCUGGUAGUUGUGAUUUAGAGAACAUUAUUCUGGAGCUGGGGCUGGACUACCUUUAAGUCCUUCCUUAGCAUCAGAAGGACUCCAUGAGCUAGCUAACAGGGCCUGCAGUUCUUUCUGGUUUUGGCAUAUUUACAGCAGAAGGUUUGGCCAUGGAUUUGUUGAGUGUGGAGGGGUAGGUGACUGAAGCUGCAUUUGUUAGUGUAACUGUUGUUUCUUAGACACUUAGAGAAGGUAGUACAUUUGAUUCUGGAUUCUCAUUUUGCAGCUGUAAAACAUUUAUUCCUUCAAAUCCAGUAUUGUUUGCUUCUUGUUUUAAAAUAAUAGCAAAACCUCCACCCAAAGGUAGCCUGUGUCUAUUUAAAUCAACUUAAAAAAAGCCAAGAAAAUGAGGGCUUAUAUCAGAUGAAUUUAAAGAAUAUUGGUUUUUGUUUUCCUACCUGUAUUCUAACCUAGAUAUGUGUAAGCGAAGAGGUUAAAAAAAAAGUACCAAAAAAUACUGAAAGAAAAAAAUGUCUUUAAACUAAAAGUAGAUUGCAUGGCUCAGUUACCAAAUCCCACUUGCUCUUGAAGGGAGCAUCUUCCUGCCUUUACCCAUAGCCAUUUCUUUCCUGCUCAGGUAUGCUGCCGUGUCUCCCUGAGGUAUGUUGGGGUGCACCAGUACAUGUUCCUGUAGAGAGUGAAAAGUUUCCAGAGUAGCUUUCGAUGGCCCUGCAAGUAAGAAAGAGCUAGUUGUAAAAGGAAGGAAUAAUACACUUUAUUUAUAAAAUUAAAAACUUACGGUAAUCAAAAUAUACCUUUAAAAAAAUGAAGAGAUAAAGAUGUUACCAGGUGGAAACCCCAGGUUCUUACUCGGUAUGACUCAUUAAAAAAAAAAAAAAUAUUGGCCAAUAAAUGAGAGACCCAGGUGAGAGAAUAAAAAAGGCACCUUUAUUUCUCUGUACAAGGAAAUGGAGUCAUUCGCUGCUUACUGCUGCCAAGACUGCUUAUGAAGGGUGGGCAGGCACGUUACUUUUAAAGGGAUUUAUAAGUAGAGAGUUCAUACAAGUUAGGUCAGCAACAUUCUUGAUCAUACUACGCAGGCACCGUGGGGUUUACAUAUAACCUCAGAGCAAAAGCAGGAUUCAGAUGCAAAGCUGGUGGGGGUGAGGGAUAGCUCAGCAAAGGAAAUGAUUUUGCAAUAUAACACUGUAGGGGAGGAAGCCAAGUAAAGAAUACAGCACUGUGGGGGUUCUGUCUCAAAGAUACAUAUAACUGACAAAGGAUUAGUUUACAGAAUAUAUAUUUUAAAAAACAAAAACAAAAGUUCCUGUAAGUCAAUAAGAAAAAGACAAAAAAUUAAUAGAAAAAUGGGAAAAAAUAAUGGAACCAAAAGAUGUUUCUAUGAAAAAAAUCAAUAAAAUUGGUAAACUUCUACCCAGACUGAUCAGGGGGAAAGAAAGAGAAGAUAUAAAUUACCAAUAUCAGGAAUGGUCUAGGUGUCAUUACUACAGAUUCUGCUGAUAUUAAAAAACAUAAGAAUAUCUUGAACUUUAUGCCAAUAAGUUCUACAACUUAGGUGAAAUGGACAAAUUCCUCGAAAGACAAAAACUACCAAAGCUCACUCAAGAAGAAAUGGAUAACCUGAAUAGGUCUGUGUACUAAACAAAUUGAAACUGGGGUUUAGAACAUUUUUUACAGAGAAAACUCUAGGCCAAGAUGGUUUCACUAGUGAAUUCUACUAGCUGUUUAAAGGAAGAAAUACUACCAGUUUGUCGAUUGAAUUGUGUCCCCCAAAAAUGUGUGUAUCAAUUUGGCUGCACCAUGAUUCCCUGUAUUGUAUGAUUGUCUGCCAUUUUGUCAUUGUGAUUUUUCUUUGUAACUUCUGCCUCUAUGAUGUUAAUAAGGGGGGAUGGGUGGCAGUUGUAUUGAUGAGGCAGGACUCAAUCUAUGGGAUUGGAUUGUGUCUGGAGCCGGUUUCUUCUAGGGUAUAAUAGAAGCGUUCAGAGAGGCAGGGGACCUCAUACCACCAAGAAAGCAGUGCCAGGAGCAGAGCAUAUUCUUUGGACCUGGGCUUCCUGCGCGGAGAAGCUCCCAGUUCAAAGGAAGAUUGAAGAGAAGGACCUUCCUCCAGAGCCAACAGAGAGAGAAAGGCUUCCCCUUGAAGCCGACACCCUGAAUUAGCUUACUUCACCCUGAGGAAAUAAAUUUCUCUUUGUUAAAGCCAUCCACUUGUAGUAUUUCUGUUAUAGCAGCACUAGAUAACUAAGACCCAGUUCUACACAAACUCUUCCAAAAAAAAUUGAAAGGGUAUAAUUUCCACUUCCUUCUAUGAAGUCAUUACAAGAAAAGAAAAAAGCCACUCAUAAGCCUAGGUAUAAAAAAUUUGAACAAAAUUGUAGUGAAUAGAACCUAGCAGUUAAAACGAUGAUACAUCAUGACCAAGUUGGGUUUAUCUGAGGAAUGCAGGGUUGGUUUAACUGUCAUAAAUCACUGUUAGUAGACAAGAACUAUUAUAGGUGAACAGAAAGACAACACACAAUACAGGAGAGGUCAGCACAACUGGACUAAACUAAAAACAAAGAAGUUUCCUGAAUACAACUAAAUGCUUCGAAAGCCAGAGUAGCACCAGAGUAGCAGGGACGUGGGUUUGAGACCAUGGUUUCAGGGGACAUCUAGGUCAAUUGGCAUAACAAUAUGUAUUAAGAAAACAUUCUGCAUCCCCUUUUGGUGAGUGGCAUCUUGGGUCUUAAACACUAGCAAGCAGCCAUCUAAGAUGCAUCAAUUGGCCUCAGCCCACCUGGAGCAAAGGAGAAUGAAGAACACCAAAGGCAUAAGAUAAAGAUGAGCCCAAGGAACAGAAAGAGCCACAUAAACCAGAGACUACAUCAGCCUGGGACGAGAAGAACUAGAUAGUGCACGGCUACCACAGAUGACUACCCUAACAGGGAACAUAGCAGAAAAUCCCUGAUGCAGGAGAAUAGCGGGAUACAGAUCUCAAAUUCUCCUAAAAAGACCAGACUUAAUGAUCUGACUGCGACUAGAGGAACCCCAGAGGUCAUGGUUCCUGCACUCUUUGUUGGCCCAAGACUGGAACCAUUCCCGAAGCCAACUCUCCAGACAGGGAUUGGACUGGACUAUAAGACAGAAAAUGUUGCUGGUAAGGAGUGAGCUUCUUGGCUCAAGUACACACAUGAGACUAUGUGGGCAGCUCCUGUCUACAGGCAAGAUGAGAAGGAAGCUGGGGACAGGAGCUGGUUGAAUGGACACGGGCAAUACAGGGUGGAGAGGAGGAAUGUGCUGUCUCAUUAGGGGGAGAGCAGCUAAGAGUACAUAGCAAGGUGUGUGUAUAACUUUUUGUAUGAGAGACUGACGAUUUGUAAAUUUUCAUUUAAAGCACAAUAAAAAACUCAAUGUAAGUCACUGUGUUAACAGACUAAAAAAAAAAAAAUCAUCUGACCAUCUCA